ACAAAAGCGCAUGUGCUGUGAGCUCGAUGAGUAGGGCGGGACACGUGGUAUCCUGUCUGAAUAUGGGGGGACCAUCCUCCAAGGCUAAAUACUCCUGACUGACCGAUAGUGAACCAGUACCGUGAGGGAAAGGCGAAAAGAACCCCGGCGAGGGGAGUGAAAAAGAACCUGAAACCGUGUACGUACAAGCAGUGGGAGCACAGGUUUACCUGUGUGACUGCGUACCUUUUGUAUAAUGGGUCAGCGACUUAUAUUCUGUAGCAAGGUUAACCAAAUAGGGGAGCCGGAGGGAAACCGAGUCUUAAUUGGGCGUUAAGUUGCAGGGUAUAGACCCGAAACCCGGUGAUCUAGCCAUGGGCAGGUUGAAGGUUGGGUAACACUAACUGGAGGACCGAACCGACUAAUGUUGAAAAAUUAGCGGAUGACCUGUGGCUGGGGGUGAAAGGCCAAUCAAACCGGGAGAUAGCUGGUUCUCCCCGAAAGCUAUUUAGGUAGCGCCUCGUGAAUUCAUCUCCGGGGGUAGAGCACUGUUUCGGCUAGGGGGCCAUCCCGGCUUACCAACCCGAUGCAAACUGCGAAUACCGGAGAAUGUUAUCACGGGAGACACACGGCGGGUGCUAACGUCCGUCGUGAAGAGGGAAACAACCCAGACCGCCAGCUAAGGUCCCAAAGUCAUGGUUAAGUGGGAAACGAUGUGGGAAGGCCCAGACAGCCAGGAUGUUGGCUUAGAAGCAGCCAUCAUUUAAAGAAAGCGUAAUAGCUCACUGGUCGAGUCGGCCUGCGCGGAAGAUGUAACGGGGCUAAACCAU
rnacentral:rRNA from 1 species